UACGGAGGGUGCAAGCGUUAUCCGGAUUCACUGGGGUUAAAGGGUGCGUAGGUGGGCAGGUAAGUCAGUGGUGAAAUCCUUGAGCUUAACUCGAGAACUGCCAUUGAUACUAUCUGUCUUGAAUGUUGUGGAGGUGAGCGGAAUAUGUCAUGUAGCGGUGAAAUGCUUAGAUAUGACAUAGAACAUCUAUUGCGAAGGCAGCUCACUACGCAAAUAUUGACACUGAGGCACGAAAGCGUGGGGAUCAAACAGG
rnacentral:rRNA from 1 species